CGGCCAUCAUGCCAGUGGCCGGAGUAAGUUGGCAUGACAGGCAAUGCAACUUCAUGUCGCAUUGCAUGUGGCAACAUGCAUGUUGCAGAUUUGGAAUCUGACAUCACUGGCUACUACAUAUUUCAACUCAUGAGAUAGAGUGCCUCGGAUAAGUAAUAUGUACGAUAUCCGAAAGAGUUCUCAAUGGCAUGCGAUGAACUUCACAUUGAACCCGCAAUCCCCCUAACAUGUUAAAUAGAUAAUUUCAAACCAAUAAAUCUUGCAUGGUAAAGAUGCCAUGCACCUUUAUAAGUUGGCAAUCGUUGACUAGACCCAGGCCGAAUCCAACUCACAUCCAAGCACCAUGCAACGUCUGAUUCCGAAUCAAGGUGAGUCACGCCAUUUUUGACUGAGUAUAUAAAGUUCAUAUCAUAUCAAGUCUUAGAUAUUUGGCAGUGAUGCGGUAAAUUCUGGCAAUAUGCUCAAGAAUUGAUCAAUUUAUAAAUAAUAAUACAUUGGAUGACAUAUUGCGUUGAUUGGUAUCAUACAUGAUGGACACUAUCUCAAUACUAAGCCAUUAAACAGUUUUAAAUACCCGUAGACUCUAGUCUGAGACAUGCGAGCUGACAACUUAGGUCAUUUUGAAUGGGAUGACAUGAUAUCCCAUACAUGACCGAUUUAAAUAGCCCAUAGAUGAUAGCCCAAUUGACCCAAAAAAAACCAAAAGCGUUGCACAGUGUUCAAUUUCAAGCAAUCCGGUGUUAGCUUGAUGCUCCCGAUGCCUUGAGGAUUCUGAUGCCAUACCCACCAACGGCAAAUCCAGUCCCACCAACAGCAAAAUCCUCAAAGGGAUGUUGCGCUGUUGACAUCAACAAUGUAGCACAUAACGUUGGGGAAGUCGCAAUGGUCAUGUAUCCGCUUGCUAUCCCCUUUGCAUUCGAUUUGGGAUUAGCAGAUCUGCAUUUACUUCUACUUUGAUUGGGAAAUAACAGGAUAUCAUAUGAUGCCCAAGGCAUGCUCCCUUCCCAGCAACAACCUCGUUCCCAGCGAGAUUCCCCUUCCCUCGACAAGACACGACACUUCCGCUUGUGCAAUCGUGCGGCCCAUUAAAGAAUUCAGAGACUCGGAACUCUGACAAAAACUAAGUGGUUUCCCACGAUCGCGAAGCGAUGACUUUAAAUUCAACAGAAUAUAUCAAACGUGGAUAACCCAGACUCUGAAAACUUGUACGUGUGUAAUGUUACAUAAGUGAAUACCUGGAUAGCGACUUAAAGUCACACAAGGGCGCCCAGCAACCUUGAACCAUUUUGAGGCAAUGCCAGAUCACUCGCACGUUGCUCCUGCAGCACAAAGCAGUAAUAGCCUUAAAUCUAAUU
rnacentral:lncRNA from 1 species